AUUGAACGCUGGCGGUAUGCUUAAGACAUGCAAGUCGAACGGAAGCCUUCGGGCUUCAGUGGCGGACGGGUGAGUAACACGUGGGAAUCUACUCAAUAGUGGGGGACAGCCCGGCGAAAGCCGGAUUAAUACCGCAUACGCCCUAUGGGGGAAAGCAGCAAUGCGCUAUUGAAUGAGCCCGCGUAAGAUUAGCUAGUUGGUGGGGUAAAGGCCCACCAAGGCGACGAUCUUUAGCUGGUCUGAGAGGAUGGCCAGCCACAUCGGGACUGAGACACGGCCCGGACUCCUACGGGAGGCAGCAGUCGGGAAUAUUGGACAAUGGGCGCAAGCCUGAUCCAGCAAUACCGCGUGUGUGAAGAAGGCCUGCGGGUUGUAAAGCACUUUCAGUGGGGAAGAUAAUGACGUUACCCACAGAAGAAGCACCGGCUAACUCCGUG
rnacentral:rRNA from 1 species